GGGGUCUCGAGCCCCUUCAAGCUCUUCACAGGUCUAUUCCUUAAAGCCUGGUGAGGGGUUUGCUUUCGUUUUUCAGUUCCUAUAAUCUACAAAAGUAGAUUGUUCCCGUUUUUAUAUUCAAGCUUGUAUUUUCUCAAGGUACUUCCGUCUAACAAACUCUAAGCCAAACGUCAUAAUCCUUCUGUUCGACACGUAGCUGCCUGAGCUGGUGUUUUGUUUGUUUGUUUUUAUGGUGGGGCCACUGUAACUGCUUAUUGAUGGACAAAUUGGAAACAGACUCUUAGCCAUUUCUCCAAUCUCAAGUCACCGCCUUCGUGACUGGGCAUCAGUGCAGCUUUGUAGAGCAGAACGUUACUUUGUUCCAACGUUGCCUGAUUCUUCUUUGGUUUAUGAAAGGUUUGAUGUUACCAAAGAACACAAGAGAGGCUUCCUAAGGAUGGAAAUAACCAAUAAUUUUAACUAACUUGAAGGCUAUGAACCACAAGAAAGACUGGAAUGUCAAGAUACUUAUCAAGCAAUCGCUAAACUCCGUAUUGGAUGCUACCACAGAAUCUCAAGCAACUCAUUUUGUUCUACCAUUUUGUCUAAAAUCCCAACACUGAACUUGACUUAUAAGCUUUGCUGAAGGCUUUUUCUCUCAAGGCAUUUUCAACCCUCACCAAUUACACGCGAAUACAAGUGGAUUCUGUUGAAUAAAGGUACUGUAUACACCCAUCAUUUUCGACACGAUGCAGCUUUCCCCUUUACUUGGCAUCUUCCCAUUUUGAACACAUCCUCUAGGGACCUGUGACAGCUAAUAUCGUAUACUUGUUUUCUAUUUCUUUAGAGUUCUCCGAUUGAUAUCUCUCCACGUUGCUUUAAUUUAUCCUUUAAUCACUUCCAACAGAUUUUCAAUGCCUUCAAAGUCUGUUCCUUUCACUAAUCUCAUAUUGUACCCAAUCUUGUGGCUGCCAUCCUAACUAUAUGGUGAUAUUUCUAAUCUUGCCAUCUCAACGCUAAGUCUCUUGAACUAUAAUUUUCUUCUUAUUAUUAAAUCAUUCUCUCAAUUACUCAAUGUAGAGUCGAUACACAGGAAGUUGCAGUGAGGUCUGAAUGUCAUCAGAGGAAAAAAAAAAAACACACACACACACACAAAGGCAAACAUUUUCUUGUUUUCCAUAGCUACCGCUAACACAUUAUUUAUAAAUCAAAAAUGAUAAUGCAGGAUCACAAGCAUUUUUCUCAUACUUUAUGUAAUCUGAGAACUGAGAGGCAGCAGUGUAUUAGCAUUAGCAGAAAACACAUUGCUGUUAGUAUUUAGGAAGCUCGUAGAUGACAGAUAACAUGAAGAGCUCACAUUCGCUGCCAACCUCACCCCAGUGCACCCCGGAAGUUUGUCAUGGAUAGAUCUAGUAUUCUUUCUGUUUCUUUUUUUCUUUUUUUUUUCUUUUUUUUUUUUUUUUGGUUCUUUUUUUUGGAGCUGGGGACCGAACCCAGGGCCUUGCGCUUCCUAGGUAAGCGCUCUACCACUGAGCUAAAUCCCCAGCCCCUUCUUUCUGUUUCUAUUUCCAAUUGUUCAGGAAGCUCACUCAAGGUGUUUCACACAAUGGUUCAGAUCUGUCCUUUCCUUUCUAUUACCACUGCCACAAAACAGUCUCGAGGGUCCCUUGAUCUUUCAUCCGGAGAAUUACAGUCAACUUUUAUGUGAUUUAUUCUCCUCUAAAACUUUCCUCAAAUCAUGUAUCGAAUACAUUCUCUCUUAAUGAUGUUUUCUUCUAAACUAGAAUUUUGAUCAUCCAAAUUUGAAGGAAGAAUUUCCUAUUCCUACGAACGCCCCAAUGGAUAAAGUUUAAACUGUUUUCUAAAACUUAA